GCAUAUCAAUAAGCGGAGGAAAAGAAACCAACAGGGAUUGCCCUAGUAACGGCGAGUGAAGCGGCAACAGCUCAAAUUUGAAAUCUGGCUUCGGCCCGAGUUGUAAUUUGCAGAGGAAGCUUUAGGCGCGGCACCUCCUGAGUCCCCUGGAACGGGGCGCCACAGAGGGUGAGAGCCCCGUAUAGUUGGAUGCCUAGCCUGUGUAAAGCUCCUUCGACGAGUCGAGUAGUUUGGGAAUGCUGCUCAAAAUGGGAGGUAAAUUUCUUCUAAAGCUAAAUACCGGCCAGAGACCGAUAGCGCACAAGUAGAGUGAUCGAAAGAUGAAAAGCACUUUGAAAAGAGGGUUAAAUAGCACGUGAAAUUGUUGAAAGGGAAGCGCUUGUGACCAGACUUGCGCCGGGCUGAUCAUCCGGUGUUCUCACCGGUGCACUCUGCCCGGUUCAGGCCAGCAUCGGUUCUCGCGGGGGGAUAAAGGCCCUGGGAACGUAGCUCCUCCGGGAGUGUUAUAGCCCGGGGCGCAAUGCCCUCGCGGGGACCGAGGUUCGCGCUCUGCAAGGAUG
rnacentral:rRNA from 1 species